rnacentral:rRNA from 1 species
GACGAACGCUGGCGGCGUGCCUAAUACAUGCAAGUAGAACGCUGAAGGAGGAGCUUGCUUCUCUGGAUGAGUUGCGAACGGGUGAGUAACGCGUAGGUAACCUGCCUGGUAGCGGGGGAUAACUAUUGGAAACGAUAGCUAAUACCGCAUAAGAGUAGAUGUUGCAUGACAUUUGCUUAAAAGGUGCAAUUGCAUCACUACCAGAUGGACCUGCGUUGUAUUAGCUAGUUGGUGGGGUAACGGCUCACCAAGGCGACGAUACAUAGCCGACCUGAGAGGGGGGUUGGCCAGACUGGGACGGAGACACGGCCCAGAGUGCUAGAGAAGGCAGCAGUAGGGAAACGUGGGGAAUGGACGGAAGUCUGACCGAGAAACGCCGAGGGAGGGAAGAAGAUUGUCGGAUCGUAAAGCUCGGUUGUAAGAGAAGAAAGAGUGUGAGAGUGGAAAGUUCACACUGUGACGGUAUCUUACCAGAAAGGGACGGCUAACUACGUG